rnacentral:rRNA from 1 species
AGUGAACGCUGGCGGUGGACCUAACACAUGCAAGUCGAACGGCAGCACAGUAAGAGCUUGCUCUUACGGGUGGCGAGUGGCGGACGGGUGAGGAAUACAUCGGAAUCUACUUUUUCGUGGGGGAUAACGUAGGGAAACUUACGCUAAUACCGCAUACGACCUACGGGUGAAAGCAGGGGAUCUUCGGACCUUGCGCGAUUGAAUGAGCCGAUGUCGGAUUAGCUAGUUGGCGGGGUAAAGGCCCACCAAGGCGACGAUCCGUAGCUGGUCUGAGAGGAUGAUCAGCCACACUGGAACUGAGACACGGUCCAGACUCCUACGGGAGGCAGCAGUGGGGAAUAUUGGACAAUGGGCGCAAGCCUGAUCCAGCCAUACCGCGUGGGUGAAGAAGGCCUUCGGGUUGUAAAGCCCUUUUGUUGGGAAAGAAAAGCAGCAGGUUAAUACCCCGCUGUUCUGACGGUACCCAAAGAAUAAGCACCGGCUAACUUCGUG